GACGUAGGGCGCGAGCGUUAAUCGGAAUUACUGGGCGUAAAGCGUGCGCAGGCGGUUGUGCAAGACAGAUGUGAAAUCCCCGGGCUUAACCUGGGAAUUGCAUUUGUGACUGCACGGCUAGAGUGUGUCAGAGGGGGGUAGAAUUCCACGUGUAGCAGUGAAAUGCGUAGAUAUGUGGAGGAAUACCGAUGGCGAAGGCAGCCCCCCUGGGAUAACACUGACGCUCAUGCACGAAAGCGUGGGGAGCAAACAGG
rnacentral:rRNA from 1 species